rnacentral:rRNA from 1 species
CAGUGGAGUACUCCUUCUAAGCUAAAUAUCACCACGAGACCGAUAGCGAACAAGUACCGUGAGGGAAAGUUGAAAAGCACUCUGAAUAGAGAGUCAAAAAGUACGUGAAACUGCCUAGGGCUCAAGCCCGUUGAACUCGAUUAUCCGCAGCGGAGAUAUUCACCUGUGGCUGGCCGGUAGCGGCAGUGCCACAGGGCACUUAUCUCCUGCUUCCGCAAGGACAUUGCGAUCCAUUACGAAACCAGUUUUGCCAGCUGCGCAAAAACUGCCCGACACUCUGCCCCCGGCGUGGUCGCUCGCUCCACCGUAGCGGCACUCAGUUCUGAAGGCCUGUGCCGCCAGCUGGAGCUUACCACGCCUUGGUGUGCAGUCGGGCGCGUGAUGGACUCCCACCGGACACCGUCCCGUAUACACACCGUGUAUACCCGCUCACCCAGGGCUGGACGGACUGUCGAUCGGCAAUGAGCAAAUCGAGGUACCUUCGGGACCCGUCUUGAAACACGGACAAAAAAAUUCCACCAA